ensembl:lncRNA
GUUUCGCUGUUUUUCUUAGUGAAUGCAAUGUGCUCCAACUGAAACUUGAAUUAGAACUUAGAAGUAAAUCAUUUCAUCUGAAAGGAUUUAGUUGCAUUAAUAACCUCAUAACAUUCUAAUUUUUAUUCCAGUCUUGGUUGGAAAUAGAAUCUCUGUAUUGAUUCAGGUAAAAACUGAACUUCACAGCAUGUUGGAGCAAAACAACCAGAUGAAAACUGUGAUGGUGUUGGAUUGUCAGACCGUAAUGUUGCAGCUCAAAGCAGCUUUUCUAGCUCAGUUCAUUCUGACAUUCAGCUAUGAAUCAACACAGCAGAUGGUGAUCCAUGCUGUGGAAGUCUCACAUCUCCUGAUUUAAUGGAGCUGCUUUGCACUUUUUACACUGUUUAUUCACCAACACUUUAUUUAAUAAAAGUCCCAUCUAGUUUUUAUGAGGAAUGUGAUGUUUUAAUUUCUCUGUGAAUAACUGCAGUCUAAUGCAACAGCUGGAGUUGUAACAUCUGUCCUGAUAUUGAUCAUGAAGUAUUGAUCAGAAUACUUAUGGUCAGCAGUCAUCCCUGAAGUUUUACAUUAAAAUCUUUACUUGUGUUGUGAACUUUGGUAAGAAGCAGAAACUUUAGCGUUGCCAUGGAUACAUGAGUGUUAAAUUCUGUCCAUGUUUCCAUUUUGGGAAAUUCAGUCCAGUUCCAGAAUGUGGAGGAAUUUAGUCUCAUCAUCACAGACAACAAAUAUUAUCUGAAAGUCGGGUUAUUGUUGUUUAUCAGCACAAUACAAAAAGAUUAAUGUUAGAAAUAUUCCAGUUAAGACUCUAGAAUAUCAUGAUUUAUGUAAAUUUACCUCAAUAAUAUGAAUGUUCAGGUUAAGAUUGUACAGUGAUAUUUAUUAUGUAAGUUUAGCUGAUUAAAGUUUGACUCUGCACUAAAAUAUUAUUUAAACUGACAUCAUUAUUAUAAUAUUUAGAGUCACACCCUACAGUAUUGAGAUCAAGAAAUCAAAUAUUCUAUAAAAUGUAAAUACACUGAACUCAUUUGGAUAUAUUUAAGUGAGACUCUACAAUAUUAUUUGACACAAAUCUAUCUAAAACAAAAUUUUAAUAAUUUUCAUGCCAAACAUUUACUGGACUGAUUAAAAUAUUAAAAUCACUCCUUUCUAAUCCUCUGCUGUACGUUCAAACCUGAGGCCUGAAAUAGAAGCACACAAGUAUCUGUUUGAAGGAACUUCUGCAGAGUCCUGGUUCCAGAACAUGAUGAUAGAAUUAUAGACAAACUUUAACAAAAGCUGACUGAGAGUUUACAGGUUUUUAUGUUGGAUUUCUUCAGUAAUUUAAUGAGCGUUAUCAGCAAAAAUCAAGUGUUCAUUUGAUGAACUUCAUUUCCUAAAACAUGCAGAAUUGGAGCUCAUAUCUUUGGCUGCUGUAAAGUUUCUGCUCCUUCAAAGUUCACAACACAAUGAAUUAAUUCCUAAAACACUCUCAGUGCUGGAGAGCGUUUGUGAUGCUGAAGCAGUGAGCAGUUUUUCUGUUUCUUCUCUGGAGAUGCACAAGGAGGGACGUCUGCAGAGACUGAGAAAGAAUCUCACCACAUCCUGACAUGAUAAAAAAAGACUUUAUUGAAGACUACAAUGAGAAAAACUAUCAGACAGCAGACGGCUGCAUUCAAGUCUGUAGCUACUGAAUUCAUGGAUGAAUCAUCUGGCACUAGAGAGGAAGACCAUCAAACAUCCACGUCAGCUGAUGGAGGUCCAAGAGUCUCACCCAACAAACAACCUACAGAGUGAAGACCUCAAAUCUGAUUGGACGGCCUCCUAUUCAGCCACAUUUUAGGCUGUUAGAUUGUUCCAGAUAAGACAAGUACAAGAUUCUUCAGAGCCGUUCUACCAUGAGCCUGACAGGAAGAACUCCAACAGCUACUGAAUGUUCCUGUGGUUCCCUCAAGGCUACAGGAGGAGCCCUACGAGGACGAGCCGGUCCACCUGAUGGUGGCCAGUCGCUGUGGUUCAAAGCCAACACCGACUACGUGGACUUCUACUGGACCACACGGAGGCCUUCAAACCGGACCAACAAGUUCACCGACUCCCCGACUCGUGGGUCUGAGGAUGCCGCCGAGCCUCGGUCCAGCCGGCCUCCUGUCUGUGGGUGUUUGAGUGCUGAGAGGUUUGUGGAUGCAUGUGAACAUUCUGUGUUGAAACAGCAGCUUUGGACUCAGUAACGCCAGGAAAAACCAAGAGCUCCUUUAUUUGUGACUUCCACUAAAAAAACUGAUGAAAAUAAGUUUGCCAGGGUUCUGACUGAUAACAGAUUAUUAAAUAAUGAAAAUAAUCAUUUAAAUAUUCCUUUAAACAAUCCUUUUAGGUCUACAUUUCCUUUACACUGACUUCUUGGUAUAUGUACAAGUAUUUUGGGUGGAAUAU